AUCUCCGCCGUCUCCUCGGUCUCCCUUCCCAUCCCGGCCCCUCCUCCGCCAGCCGCGUCCUCCCGGGCUUGGUGAGGAACUGUUCCUGGAGGAGCCGCGGGACGCCAAAACCAGCCAAUGGGAAGCGGCGAUUCGCGGAGAUUGGCACUGAUGAUGGGAAGGUCGGUGGGAAGGAGAGCGGCGGGGCUGGGCUGUCAAUCAAAGUAACGUGGGGCUGGCUAGAGAGCGCGCGGGCGCGCGCUAGCGGGAGGGACUGGCGAGCGUGCAGCCGGGGAAGCUGAGGGCUCGAGUUAGCAAAAAUCCUGCCACUUGCUCACUUUUCCCUUUAAUGAAAAUCCUCAGAUCUAAGUGAAAGUAACUCAAAGACUAGCUGCGGAGUUUCUUAUUGGAGGCGGAGGGGGGCUUUUGGUAAUUCGAGCAAAUGUGUUUUUCAGUGCUGGACCCCUUGUUUGAUGCUACUCUAAAAGUGAGGCCACAUUCAAAAAUUUAUCUGAGGUUUGUUUUUCCUUGAGCUGCCUUUUUACGGAUGUACGAGAGGGAGUGGACUGUGCACUUAGUUGGAAAUGCGUAAAUGAGCAACGCCACGGUUGGCGUAGGUACACCAGCAAAGACGACUGUGAUGUCCUCCCACCCCACCCACCCCCUUUGCACCCAAAGUGGUAGGAUUUGAUUUUUAUUGCAGGAUUUCAAGCCACUUUUCAAAAAGAUCGUCCUGUCCCGUUUGGCGGGAAGGAUUCCCAGGGUGCUGCCAGAACAAGGCACGCGUGUCCGCAGAUGAGACGUUUUGCCCGGGGCGCGAAAUCCCAGGUCUUCGUCUUAAAAGUCCUGACUUCGCUGUGUUGGGAGAGGUGGGGAGCGGCUGAGGUUUUUAGGAACUUCUCAGCUACAAGACUACGAGUCUGUUUCCAAUUCCUGGGAACAAAGAGAGACAAUGUAAUAAACCAGCACUGAGACCUGAAAAACCUGUCCCGCACACCCCACCCCCACAGUCUGGGUGGUACUCCUGAGCUGAGCUGUGUGAAGAGCUAAAUGGGAAGAGUUAGGUAAAUGACGUGGCUAAGGUUCUUAUGAAGUGGAACUUGAGUUAAAAGGGAUUUUGAGAUUGUAAUAAUCAAGACAUGCUGUAUAAUUAAUGCUGAGAGUCUUUGGUUUUUGUGUAUGUCUCUAAAUACACAGCAGAAAACCGUCAGUAUUGCCGCAUUUAUGCUUUUGUUUGAGGAACAUUUCCACAUGAGCAGUGAAUGAAUAAUGCUGGUUUAGCCAAACGGUGGUAACUUCUUCCAUAAGGGCACAUCUUGGACAAGUAUUUAUCUUAUGUUGGAAACUAGUUAAGUUUUUGGUAUUAAUAACCCCCACGUUAUUAUUUUAUUAUUUUACCUUCAAGAGACUUACGGGAAGGAGCUUAUUUAAACAGACAUACAUUUUAUUUAAAGAUGUGCUUUUACAGAGUUCUUUUUCUUGAAAUAGUUUUAGAAGUCAUUUUAGAUAAUACAUUUCACUGUUGGAGUUGUUUUUAAAUAUGUAUGAUAUUGAUUUGUCUAUAAUUGCAUCACUCCCAAAUAUCAAUUAUAAAUGAAAAAAUAAAAAAGCGAUUUUAACCAGUC
ensembl:lncRNA TLE1-DT TLE1 divergent transcript